rnacentral:misc_RNA from 1 species
AAAACGACACGUGAUCUUGCUGCGCUUGCGCGUAGAAGAGGAAGUAAAGAAAUGAUAUGACGUCAUUCAGAUACGGAUUGUAUGUGCAUACAGACUGGACUACUAAGGUAGUUUCACCAUUGCACUUAGCAAGAACACUGGGCUACGUAGAGGGGAUAUGAAGCAGAUAUCUUGCAUAUUGUAUUGUUUAUGUACAUGUGUAUAUCUUUGCGAAUGUAAAAGAAAGCGAACAAUGUCAUAAAAAUGCAAAAAG